GACGAACGCUGGCGGCGUGCUUAACACAUGCAAGUCGAACGGAAAGGCCCUGCUUUUGUGGGGUGCUCGAGUGGCGAACGGGUGAGUAACACGUGAGUAACCUGCCCUUGACUUUGGGAUAACUUCAGGAAACUGGGGCUAAUACCGGAUAGGAGCUCCUGCUGCAUGGUGGGGGUCGGAAAGUUUCGGCGGUUGGGGAUGGACUCGCGGCUUAUCAGCUUGUUGGUGGGGUAGUGGCUUACCAAGGCUUUGACGGGUAGCCGGCCUGAGAGGGUGACCGGCCACAUUGGGACUGAGAUACGGCCCAGACUCCUACGGGAGGCAGCAGUGGGGAAUAGUGCACAAUGGGCGGAAGCCUGAUGCAGCAACGCCGCGUGCGGGAUGACGGCCUUCGGGUUGUAAACCGCUUUCGCCUGUGACGAAGCGUGAGUGACGGUAAUGGGUAAAGAAGCACCGGCUAACUACGUG
rnacentral:rRNA from 1 species